GAUUAACGCUGGCGGCGUGCAUAACACAUGCAAGUCGAACGAUGAAACUUUAAUGAACCCUUCGGGGAGAAUUAAAGCGGAUUAGUGGCGAACGGGUGAGUAACGCGUGAGUAACCUGCCUUACACAGGGGGAUAGCCUUUGGAAACGAAGAAUAAUACCCUAUAAAACCAUACAAGCACAUGCAAUUAUGGUCAAAGUGAUAGCGGUGUAAGAUGGACUUGCGUCUGAUUAGCUAGUUGGUGAGAUAAAAGCCCACCAAGGCAACGAUCAGUAGCCGGCUUGAGAGAGUGUACGGCCACAUUGGGACUGAGACACGGCCCAGACUCCUACGGGAGGCAGCAGUGGGGAAUUUUGCACAAUGGGGGAAACCCUGAUGCAGCGACGCCGCGUGAUUUAGAAGGCCUUCGGGUUGUAAAAAUCUUUUGUAUAGGAAGAAAAUGACAGUACUAUACGAAUAAGGUCCGGCUAAUUACGUG
rnacentral:rRNA from 1 species